rfam:Salmo salar isolate Sally breed double haploid chromosome ssa28, whole genome shotgun sequence.
UGCAUGCAUAACUGUAGGUUGCUUUGGAUAAAGGCGUCUGCUAAAUGGCGUAUA